rnacentral:rRNA from 1 species
UACGCGUGGGAACAUACCCUUCUCUACGGAAUAGCCUCGGGAAACUGAGAGUAAUACCGUAUACGCCCUUCGGGGGAAAGAUUUAUCGGAGAAGGAUUGGCCCGCGUUAGAUUAGAUAGUUGGUGGGGUAAUGGCCUACCAAGUCUACGAUCUAUAGCUGGUUUUAGAGGAUGAUCAGCAACACUGGGACUGAGACACGGCCCAGACUCCUACGGGAGGCAGCAGUGGGGAAUCUUAGACAAUGGGCGAAAGCCUGAUCUAGCCAUGCCGCGUGAGUGAUGAAGGCCUUAGGGUCGUAAAGCUCUUUCGCCAGGGAUGAUAAUGACAGUACCUGGUAAAGAAACCCCGGCUAACUCCGUGCCAGCAGCCGCGGUAAUACGGAGGGGGUUAGCGUUGCUCGGAAUUACUGGGCGUAAAGCGCACGUAGGCGGACUAAUAAGUCAGAGGUGAAAUCCCAGGGCUCAACCUUGGAACUGCCUUUGAUACUGUUAGUCUUGAGUUCGAGAGAGGUGAGUGGAAUUCCGAGUGUAGAGGUGAAAUUCGUAGAUAUUCGGAGGAACACCAGUGGCGAAGGCGGCUCACUGGCUCGAUACUGACGCUGAGGUGCGAAAGUGUGGGGAGCAAACAGGAUUAGAUACCCUGGUAGUCCACACCGUAAACGAUGAAUGCCAGUCGUCGGAUAGCAUGCUAUUCGGUGACACACCUAACGGAUUAAGCAUUCCGCCUGGGGAGUACGGUCGCAAGAUUAAAACUCAAAGGAAUUGA